AGGGCAUUAAAGGAUAAGUCACAAGACAGCUGCACCUGGUAAUGCCAAAAAAUAGCAGCAACUACAAACUAAGGAUGCUCCAAGCAACGAUAAUUUGUGACCCUGUGCCAAUACACACUGGGGCAGAUGAAAACAACUUGUUCCAAAGCUGCUAUUGGGGAUCUGACAUGUUUAUCUAUUUGGCCCACAUGUGGCUGUGUCUUCUAGCACUGACAGCUCCUGCAGGUUGGCAGCUUUUCAAAAGCUUGUCAGCCCUUGAUAGCAUUCCUAUUCCUGCAGAGAUGGGCGGGUCGCACUGCGGAUUACACAGCGAUAAUAGUGCUGACAUAUAACCCCGCUUGCACUGUUAGCGAGCACAGGACUUACAGAAAGGUGCACCAUUUCUUUGCAGCUAUUUCCUAAGUGUUUACCCAGCUGACAACAUUUUGUAUUUAGUACUUAUUUAGUUUAAGGAGUAAAAUAACAAAGGCUUUAGGCAAACUCACAAGAAAAUUCUAUGUACCAAUGUAAUCUUUCCAGCAGGCUCCCAGAGCUUACGAUUCCUAUAGAAUUUUUUUCUCCAGCUUUCCAGCCUCUCAUGCUAUUGAUCAUGUUUGUGUGCUUGUUUUACGCUGCACUUCUACUGGUUAUGGCAUAGUUGUCUUCAGAUUUAUUGUCCAUAUUUGCAACGUCCUGAUAAACACGACUCUUACUCCAGAGGAGUACAAAGGACACACUUCAGACCCUUGUAGUCCCAACAUGUGUGGUUUCCUCACACCAGGAAAGCCUGGAAGCGAGCCGCCUGGCCUGGUGCCAACCCAAACCACGGUCAGUCUAAACACAGCGCCGGCAAACGCUACUUUCUGACACUUCGCUGCUACUGGAGAGUAUCCUUUAGCAUUGGAACCUCGUCAGUGACUGAGAUUUAUACACAGCCUCUCGUGCAACUUCCUUCAUCUCAUCUCUUCCCUCCCCGAACAAAUUUCUACCAGCCCAGCACAGAGGAACCAGAGAGAAACGCUUGUGUGAUAUCAUCUUAUGUUACCUGGGCAUUUACCUAAGAGGGUUCAAAUGUAUUUGCCACCUUCCUAAUGAGUGUACUGUUCUUAACAAAGUAGACAAGGUUUCAUGCUAAAAGAUGAGAGACCUUGAACUGCAGUAGCAUGAACAACUCUGUUGUAAUAAAAGUGUCAGAUGGCAUGGGCCUGGAAAACACAUUCACAUCAAUACUAACAGGCUUAGGAGAGAUACAGAGCAGCAUGAGCUACUCGUGAAGAAGGACUUUGACUACAGAACAGACCUCCCCUGCACCCCUCGGCCCUUCUUUGAGGAACUCGUCUAUAAAUGGAACAGCAGAAAUGGGGAGGGAGGAAAGGGAAAUAGGAUGUGACUCGAGGACCUGCGCUGCGACCACAGAUGUCCACUGCUAGACACACACUGACGUCAAGAGGAUCAUGCCCUCAAAUUAGUACAUAGCAAGAGAACAAGGCUGGGAUCUUUGAAACUACUCAGGAUUGGGUUUGCUUUACAAAUGUCUCUAGUAAAAGUGCUAUUAGACAAAUAUUUCUGAAAGUACCCUCUUCGAAGCUGAUGCCACUGACCAUGUAUCUACCCUACAUUCUUCUUCUAGGGAAGCAGUUUUCAGUGUUGUCUCAUCCUCCUUUUUACAAAGGACCACUCAUUCUUCCCGAAGUCUUACUCUUUUGUUUUUUUCUCUCAUCUUCUGAGAUUUAAUCAAGUGAACAUUCAGCAGAAUAGUUUGGUAUUUUGUGAACACAAUUCUUUUUUUAUCCAAUUGAGGCCCUUUUGUGAUCACGAAAAAAAGAAAACUGUUGUGAGCUACAGGCUGUUUACACUGUUAAGAGGUUGAUACGGGUCAGUUCUCUAAGGUUAUUCUUAGUUCAACUGCUAUGUAAACUGUUGAUGUCACUGACUGGAGGCUGCUCUCCAGGACAUUAUAUAUAUGAUAAUUAUAUGACAGAAAAUGCAACAUAUAGUUGGAUCUGACCUCCAAGUUCACUAGUUUAAAAAAGGAAAAAAAUGUCUGUAAGAAACUUGCUGUUUUUCCUGUUACUAAAACAUAAUAAACCCCUUCAAGUUUACACUUACUUAGUCUACUGCAUAUGCAAGAGGCUUUCCUCACAUGGACAGCAAUGCCCAUCUAUCUUCAACCUAUGGUACAUUUUAAGUCUCAAAGAAGUUCACUGCCUCCAGAAAGUAUUUUUGAAACAAAACAGGCAAAAUCUAUUUCAUAACUAACUAGAUAAGCAUCUGAAACUAGGAUCUUAACUCUUACAUAAACAUUUUAUGUUACUGUACAAAGGAAUCUGAGACAGAUUUUUCAGAGAAAUCACAAAUCAUCAAAAAUGAAUUAAGUAACAAACAAGGGAUUCAAGAAAAGCAGCACUUCCUCACUUAGCACGUUUUCCUUGAUCUUCAUCAGCAUUCAGAAUUACAGCUGCUGAUAUUACCACAAAAGCGUGUUUUUACUGAUUUUUCUUCCUCUUCCUGUAGAGCAAGCACAGCUGCAGAAAUGCAAGCUCAUUUCUAGGCUUUUUUGUACAUCGCCAGUUUACCACAUUCCAGCCAUUCAUAGCUGUGCAACACCCCCAUCGUGGUACUGGGAGUACCGCAAUGUCACAGACAGUUUAAAUGAGGUUCAUGGAGCUAUAUAAUUGUAACUAUAUUUUAUAUGCAUAAUUAAAUGAUGCAUGACAUGGAAAUAAGCCAGCUUUGCUGAAACAGAACAAACUAACUGCUCUGACGCAACAGUCAAGCAUCUUGUCAGUUAUAAAAUCAAACAUGCUUAAAGCAAAAAUUAUUUAGAAAACAGGAUGCUUGAUAUUGUAAAGUAGCAUGUUCAAAGGAUCAUUUUUAGAACGUUAAGGAAAUGUACUAAUCCAGUCAAGUUUUCAAAAGAAUUCCUGGCUCCAAAAUGUUAUCCUCUGCUUUCUGUUUCACGGUGUUGUAAGAAUGGAUCACUCUUAGGGGGAAAAAAUCAUGUAUGUAAAACACUGCAUGAAGCUAAACAGUUCUUAGACGAGGCUAAUUUCCAUGUAGAGCUGAGGAUUUAGCAUUGUCAGCCUUCAACAGAGGAGACAGGAUUGCAUGUCUUUAGUUCACUUAUUUAAGAUGAAAAAGCAAGAAGGAGUGGAAAUUCAAUCCUGCUUCAAUUUACUUCAGUGGCAAAACCCUUGCCAUAACUUUAGUGGGAGUGAGAAUACAUCUUAAUUCGUUCAAUGCAAAGAAGAAAAAAAUCAGCUGAGAAUAAUGUUCUUGUUUAUUAGAUAUAAAUUACUGCCAUGAUUGUUUUUAACAGUGUUAAGUUUUAAAAGCCAAAGGUUGCCUUCAGUCUCGCCUUUUCCUAUGUGCUGUGUCACAACGCAGGAUCCUGGUCCUCUGACCAAACCAGCACUGGUCACAGCAAGCGUGGCUUGAAUUUGGGACAUGGUCACAUUCCCGCAUGGCAAUCAUAUUUGUUUGUGAAUGUCAGUGUGGAUAUGUCACCAGUGACAAUGUCCAAAUCUGGGCUGGGGCUCACCCCCCUAGCCAAGAAAGCAGAGUGCACACUUCUGUAAUAUAGAUGUAUUCUUAUGAGUUAUAAAUGUAGUCUUAGGAAGAGCAGCUGAGGCAACUGGGGUUGU